AACGAUGAAUAAAUACACGUUGUUUUUUUUUUUUUUUUUGAUGACAUGAGACUAUUGCUCAAAUUACAAUUCAUAUUACAUGAGAGUAUAACUGAUAUGUACAAUCAUAUAUAUAUAUAUACUGAGACCUGUUGACAUCAAUGCUGAUAUGACACCGCUCAAAUUUGUAACCCUCUCAAAUAUUCGAGGGACGCCAACUCUCAGUUUGAGAGAAAGACUGCCUUCACUCAAGCUCUGGGACUCCAAGAAAAGACAUUUUAAAUUAAACCCCUACAAUACGUAUGCGGAAGCUCGAACCACUUCCCUCAUAAUUGUGAGGGAAUGGCUCUAGCCACUUGGGCUAAGCCCA
rnacentral:lncRNA from 1 species